rnacentral:rRNA from 1 species
UACGGAGGGGGCUAGCGUUGUUCGGAAUUACUGGGCGUAAAGCGCACGUAGGCGGCUUUGCAAGUUAGAGGUGAAAGCCCGGGGCUCAACUCCGGAAUUGCCUUUAAAACUGCAUCGCUAGAAUUGUGGAGAGGUAAGUGGAAUUCCGAGUGUAGAGGUGAAAUUCGUAGAUAUUAGGAAGAACACCAGUGGCGAAGGCGGCUCACUGGCUGAACACUGACGCUAAAGCGCGAAAGCGUGGGGAGCAAACAGG